UGAGGAAUAUUGGUCAAUGGACGGAAGUCUGAACCAGCCAAGUAGCGUGCAGGAUGACGGCCCUAUGGGUUGUAAACUGCUUUUAUGCGGGGAUAAAGUUAGUCACGUGUGACUAUUUGCAGGUACCGCAUGAAUAAGGACCGGCUAAUUCCGUGCCAGCAGCCGCGGUAAUACGGAAGGUCCCGGCGUUAUCCGGAUUUAUUGGGUUUAAAGGGAGCGUAGGCCGUGGAUUAAGCGUGUUGUGAAAUGUAGACGCUCAACGUCUGACUUGCAGCGCGAACUGGUUCACUUGAGUGUGCGCAACGCAGGCGGAAUUCGUGGUGUAGCGGUGAAAUGCUUAGAUAUCACGAAGAACUCCGAUUGCGAAGGCAGCUUGCGGGAGCACAACUGACGCUGAAGCUCGAAAGUGCGGGUAUCAAACAGGAUUAGAUACCCUGGUAGUCCGCACAGUAAACGAUGGAUGCCCGUUCUUCGUUCUUUUGAAUGAGGGACCAAGCGAAAGCAUUAAGCAUCCCACCUGGGGAGUACGCCGGCAACGGUG
rnacentral:rRNA from 1 species